rnacentral:rRNA from 1 species
AACGUAACAAGGUUUCCGUAGGUGAACCUGCGGAAGGAUCAUUGUCGAAUCCUGCAAAGCAAACGAC